rnacentral:lncRNA from 1 species
GGAACUCGGACAGCGAUCCAUCCUAAAGCACAAAUUAUUGCGGAAGCCGGGCCAAUAGUGAUUGGCAAAGGGAACCUGAUAGAAGAACAGGCCCUUAUCAUAAAUGCUUCCUCGGAUAGUAUCACUCUUGACACUGGAGAUCCAGAACCAAAACCUAUGAUCAUUGGCACCAAUAAUGUGUUUAAAGUUGGCGUCAUUCCCAAGCCAUGGAGAUGGGAGAUAAUAAUGUCAUUGAAUUAAAAGUGUAUGUAGGCAGAAAUCUAAUAUUGACAAGUGGCUGUCUCACUGGCGCUUGUUGCAACCUAAACACUUUUGAAGUCAUCCCGGAGAAUACGGUGAUCUAUGGUGCAGACUGCCUUUGUUGGGUGCAGGCUGAGCGACCGCAGCCUCAGACACUACAGCUGGAUUUCUCGAUGAAAAUCUUGCCAAAUUACCACCACCUAAAGAAGACUACGAAAGGAAGCUCAACUCCAGUAAAGAAC